rnacentral:rRNA from 1 species
GAUGAACGCUGGCGGCGUGCCUAAUACAUGCAAGUCGAGCGAACAGACGAGGAGCUUGCUCCUCUGACGUUAGCGGCGGACGGGUGAGUAACACGUGGAUAACCUACCUAUAAGACUGGGAUAACUUCGGGAAACCGGAGCUAAUACCGGAUAAUAUAUUGAACCGCAUGGUUCAAUAGUGAAAGACGGUUUUGCUGUCACUUAUAGAUGGAUCCGCGCCGCAUUAGCUAGUUGGUAAGGUAACGGCUUACCAAGGCAACGAUGCGUAGCCGACCUGAGAGGGUGAUCGGCCACACUGGAACUGAGACACGGUCCAGACUCCUACGGGAGGCAGCAGUAGGGAAUCUUCCGCAAUGGGCAAAAGCCUGACGGAGCAACGCCGCGUGAGUGAUGAAGGUCUCCGGAUCGUAAAACUCUGUUAUUAGGGAAGAACAAAUGUGUAAGUAACUAUGCACGUCUUGACGGUACCUAAUCAGAAAGCCACGGCUAACUACGUG